UCCGUUAUGGUGUAGUGGCUAACAUUAUCGCCUCUCAUCCAAUGAUGACGUGAGAGAGUACGCGAUAGCCCAGGGUUCGAUUCCCUGUAACGGAA